AAACGGCAGGGGAGGAAGCUACCUAUUGGUCCCACAUUUUAGAAAGGGCAAAGCGCACAUCUGUUCAUUCCUCGACUACUCAUUCCUCUCUCUACUCUCUCUCUCUCUAGGCUCUAGGUUUCUCUCUCUCAUCUCGCAUCCAUCGGCGCAUCUAGCAACCACCGCUCGCAAUUCUGGAUCCGUGCGGGGUUGGAGGGGAGGCGAAGUAAGGCAUCUGCGGGAUUGAAGUGGAGGAGGGGGGAAGCGCAGAACCAAAUCAAGGUGAGAUGAAUCCCCAUGCGUGGAACAUACUGCACAUUUCUCUCACCAAUUUUUGGUUUCGUUUUUACCUUUUUGUUUUGGCGGAGGUCAUGAUGUGCGCUUCCAGAACCGGGCAAGGGAUCUGUUGUUUUGGGGAGGGGAACGGGAAGCUGCAGAUCGGAUCAGAGAGGAGCAUUUGAGGUGUGCGGAUGCGGGGCUGAAGCGCAGGUUAGGGGCGAGGAUGCGCCUAGUCGCGCCUAGUCGCUAGUCUAUGGCCUAGCGCCUGGACUAGGGGGGUAGUCGGGCCUCAAGUCGAGCGGAGCGCCUAGGCGGAGCGAGAUGGCGAUUCCGCGGCGCCCAGGUGCCCUAGGCGGCGCGGAGGCGAGCUAGGUGGCCGUCGAUGGCGAGCGCGCGUGAAAUUAAGGCGCUGCGUGGGAAACUUUGGCGCUGCGGGCAAUAGCGCGCGUGCAGACGCGGGAGUAAGCCGCGUGCUGAAGAAGGAGCUUGGAGCAACAUGUUAGGAGCAGACUUGUUGAAAGAGCAUACAAAAAA